rnacentral:rRNA from 1 species
AUCUAUACUGUGAAACUGCGAAUGGCUCAUUAAAUCAGUUAUCGUUUAUUUGAUAGUACCUUACUACUUGGAUAACCGUGGUAAUUCUAGAGCUAAUACAUGCUAAAAACCCCGACUUCGGGAGGGGUGUAUUUAUUAGAUAAAAAACCAAUGCCCUUCGGGGCUCCUUGGUGAUUCAUGAUAACUUAACGAAUCGCAUGGCCUUGCGCCGGCGAUGGUUCAUUCAAAUUUCUGCCCUAUCAACUUUCGAUGGUAGGAUAGUGGCCUACCAUGGUAUCAACGGGUAACGGGGAAUUAGGGUUCUAUUCCGGAGAGGGAGCCUGAGAAACGGCUACCACAUCCAAGGAAGGCAGCAGGCGCGCAAAUUACCCAAUCCCGACACGGGGAGGUAGUGACAAUAAAUACUGAUACAGGGCUCUUUUGGGUCUUGUAAUUGGAAUGAGUACAAUUUAAAUACCUUAACGAGGAACAAUUGGAGGGCAAGUCUGGUGCCAGCAGCCGCGGUAAUUCCAGCUCCAAUAGCGUAUAUUAAAGUUGUUGCAGUUAAAAAGCUCGUAGUUGAACCUUGGGCCUGGCUGGCCGGUCCGCCUCACCGCGUGUACUGGUCCGGCCGGGCCUUUCCUUCUGGGGAUCCGCAUGCCCUUCACUGGGUGUGUCGGGGAACCAGGACUUUUACUUUGAAAAAAUUAGAGUGUUCAAAGCAGGCCUUUGCUCGAAUACAUUAGCAUGGAAUAAUAGAAUAGGACGUGCGGUCCUAUUUUGUUGGUUUCUAGGACCGCCGUAAUGAUUAAUAGGGAUAGUCGGGGGCAUCAGUAUUCAAUUGUCAGAGGUGAAAUUCUUGGAUUUAUUGAAGACUAACUACUGCGAAAGCAUUUGCCAAGGAUGUUUUCAUUAAUCAGUGAACGAAAGUUAGGGGAUCGAAGACGAUCAGAUACCGUCGUAGUCUUAACCGUAAACUAUGCCGACUAGGGAUCGGGCGAUGUUAUUCUUUUGACUCGCUCGGCACCUUACGAGAAAUCAAAGUCU